AGAAGCUUAGUUAAUAUAUAACCUCGGUCUGUCAGUCCGAUAUUGCGAAUAUAAAUCCCUCGCAGCUCCUU
rnacentral:tRNA from 1 species